UACAGAGGAUGCAAGCGUUAUCCGGAAUCAUUGGGCGUAAAGCGCACGUAGGCGGCUUCGCAAGUCGGAUGUGAAAUACCUAGGCUCAACCAAGGACGUGCAUCCGAAACUGCGAGGCUUGAGUACAGAAGAGGAUCGCGGAAUUCCCGGUGUAGAGGUGAAAUUCGUAGAUAUCGGGAGGAACACCAGUGGCGAAGGCGGCGAUCUGGGCUGAUACUGACGCUGAGGUGCGAAAGCGUGGGGAGCAAACAGG
rnacentral:rRNA from 1 species